GUGUCCAGCCGCCGCAGUAAUACCGGCAGCUCGAGUGAUGUCCAAUAUUAUUGGGCCUAAAGCGUCCGUAGCUGGCCGCGCAAGUCCGUCGGGAAAUCCACCUGCCCAACAGGUGGGCGUCCGACGGAAACUGUGUGGCUUGGAACCGGAAGGCUCAGAGGGUACGUCCGGGGUAGGAGUGAAAUCCCGUAAUCCCGGACGGACCACCGAUGGCGAAAGCACUCUGAGAAGACGGCUUCGACAGUGAGGGACGAGAGCUCGGGUCUCAAACCGGAUUAGAAACCCGAGUAGUCC
rnacentral:rRNA from 1 species